rnacentral:misc_RNA from 1 species
CCAUAGCCCCGAUAGGAGCGGAAAUCCUUUUUGUGGCGGGGUUCGCCGCAAAAAGAUUACUUCGUCAGUUCGCUAUCGC